rnacentral:rRNA from 1 species
AGAGUUUGAUCMUGGCUCAGGACGAACGCUGGCGGCGUGCCUAAUACAUGCAAGUCGAGCGAACAGAAGGGAGCUUGCUCCCGGAUGUUAGCGGCGGACGGGUGAGUAACACGUGGGUAACCUGCCUGUAAGACUGGGAUAACUCCGGGAAACCGGAGCUAAUACCGGAUAGUUCCUUGAACCGCAUGGUUCAAGGAUGAAAGACGGUUUCGGCUGUCACUUACAGAUGGACCCGCGGCGCAUUAGCUAGUUGGUGGGGUAAUGGCUCACCAAGGCGACGAUGCGUAGCCGACCUGAGAGGGUGAUCGGCCACACUGGGACUGAGACACGGCCCAGACUCCUACGGGAGGCAGCAGUAGGGAAUCUUCCGCAAUGGACGAAAGUCUGACGGAGCAACGCCGCGUGAGUGAUGAAGGUUUUCGGAUCGUAAAGCUCUGUUGUUAGGGAAGAACAAGUGCGAGAGUAACUGCUCGCACCUUGACGGUACCUAACCAGAAAGCCACGGCUAACUACGUGCCAGCAGCCGCGGUAAUACGUAGGUGGCAAGCGUUGUCCGGAAUUAUUGGGCGUAAAGGGCUCGCAGGCGGUUUCUUAAGUCUGAUGUGAAAGCCCCCGGCUCAACCGGGGAGGGUCAUUGGAAACUGGGAAACUUGAGUGCAGAAGAGGAGAGUGGAAUUCCACGUGUAGCGGUGAAAUGCGUAGAGAUGUGGAGGAACACCAGUGGCGAAGGCGACUCUCUGGUCUGUAACUGACGCUGAGGAGCGAAAGCGUGGGGAGCGAACAGGAUUAGAUACCCUGGUAGUCCACGCCGUAAACGAUGAGUGCUAAGUGUUAGGGGGUUUCCGCCCCUUAGUGCUGCAGCUAACGCAUUAAGCACUCCGCCUGGGGAGUACGGUCGCAAGACUGAAACUCAAAGGAAUUGACGG